rnacentral:rRNA from 1 species
GUUGGCCUACGGGACGCAGCAGUGGGGAAUAUUGCACAAUGGGGGAAACCCUGAUGCAGCGACGCCGCGUGAAGGAUGAAGUAUUUCGGUAUGUAAACUUCUAUCAGCAGGGAAGAAAAUGACGGUACCUGACUAAGAAGCCCCGGCUAACUACGUGCCAGCAGCCGCGGUAAUACGUAUGGAGCAAGCGUUAUCCGGAUUUACUGGGUGUAAAGGGAGCGCAGACGGCAGGGCAAGUCUGAAGUGAAAGCCCAGGGCUCAACCCUGGGACUGCUUUGGAAACUGUGGAGCUAGAGUGCUGGAGG